rnacentral:rRNA from 1 species
GUAGGGGGCAAGCGUUAUCCGGAUUUACUGGGUGUAAAGGGAACGUAGACGGUGUGGCAAGUCUGAUGUGAAAGGCAUGGGCUCAACCUGUGGACUGCAUUGGAAACUGUCAUACUNGAGUGCCGGAGGGGUAAGCGGAAUUCCUAGUGUAGCGGUGAAAUGCGUAGAUAUCACGAAGAACUCCGAUUGCGAAGGCAGCUCACUGGAGCGCAACUGACGCUGAAGCUCGAAAGUGCGAGUAUCGAACAGGAUUAGAUACCCUGGUAGUCCGCACGGUAAACGAUGGAUGCCCGCUGUUGGUCUGAACAGGUCAGCGGCCAAGCGAAAGCAUUAAGCAUCCCACCUGGGGAGU